UUACGGCCAUAGCACAUUGAAACAGCGGUUUCUGUACGAUCACUAAGGUUAAGCAACGUCGGGCCUGGUCAGUAUUUAGAUGGGUGACUGACUGGGAGUACUAGAUGCUGUAA